rnacentral:rRNA from 1 species
UGAUCAUGGCUCAGGAUGAACGCUAGCGGCAGGCCUAAUACAUGCAAGUCGAGGGGUAAGGUCUCUUUCGGGAGACACACGACCGGCGCACGGGUGCGUAACGCGUAUGCAACCUACCUUUAACAGAGGGAUAGCCCCGAGAAAUCGGGAUUAAUACCACAUAACACCACAUUGUUUCAUGACAGAGUGGUUAAAGCUCCGGCGGUUAAAGAUGGGCAUGCGUGACAUUAGCUAGUUGGUGAGGUAACUGCUCACCAAGGCAACGAUGUCUAGGGGUUCUGAGAGGAUGAUCCCCCACACUGGUACUGAGACACGGACCAGACUCCUACGGGAGGCAGCAGUAAGGAAUAUUGCGCAAUGGAGGCAACUCUGACGCAGCCAUGCCGCGUGCAGGAAGAAGGCCUUAUGGGUCGUAAACUGCUUUUAUUUAGGAAUAAUCCCCCCAACGUGUUGGGGGUUGAAGGUACUAAACGAAUAAGCACCGGCUAACUCCGUGCCAGCAGCCGCGGUAAUACGGAGGGUGCAAGCGUUAUCCGGAUUUAUUGGGUUUAAAGGGUGCGCAGGCGGACUGGUAAGUCAGUGGUGAAAUCCCGGGGCUCAACCCCGGAACUGCCAUUGAUACUGUCAGUCUUGAAUACGGUUGAAGUAGGCGGAAUGUAGCAUGUAGCGGUGAAAUGCAUAGAGAUGCUACAGAACACCGAUCGCGAA